CGCGGGCGGAGGCUUCCGGGGCUGGGGGCGGUGCCACGUGCAGUGCCGGCGGCGCACGGCAGAGGGCGUAGAGGAGCUACCGCCGCCCUCCCGGAUCCCACGGCGCGGUCCGCGACGCCCGCCCUGCCGCCGCCUGGCCGAAGCCUCUCCAAGGCCAAGGCCACCCUCGGCCCCGCCCCGCCGCAACCGCCGCCCCGGAGUGUCGGUCGAAGAUCACCCUAGGCCCACGCCCUCUGCCCGCCCCGGACGCGCCACCCCUUCCUGGGCCUCCCUCCCUCCUUCCGCUCCAGAUGAAGAAAAUGAGGCCCAGGAUGGACCUUGUUCUAUCUGGAAAAAGACAGAAAAGGGACCUUAGGACUGGAAAGGCAACUAUAGGAGCAGCACCCCCCUGGUGGCGUUGGGGACCCAAGGUGAAGUCACUGAGGCACAGAGAGAUCAAAGAGUUUGCCCAAGACUCCCCUCAAAUGAAUGAUGAAAG
rnacentral:lncRNA from 1 species